AACGAACGCUGGCGGCAGGCUUAACACAUGCAAGUCGAGCGCCCCGCAAGGGGAGCGGCAGACGGGUGAGUAACACGUGGGGAUCUGCCCAAUGGUACGGAAUAGCUCCGGGAAACUGGAAAUAAUACCGUAUGUGCCCGCAAGGGGAAAGAUUUAUCGCCAUUGGAUGAACCCGCGUCGGAUUAGCUAGUUGGUGUGGUAAAGGCGCACCAAGGCGACGAUCCGUAGCUGGUCUGAGAGGAUGAUCAGCCACACUGGGACUGAGACACGGCCCAGACUCCUACGGGAGGCAGCAGUGGGGAAUAUUGGACAAUGGGCGCAAGCCUGAUCCAGCCAUGCCGCGUGAGUGAUGAAGGCCUUAGGGUUGUAAAGCUCUUUCGCCGACGAAGAUAAUGACGGUAGUCGGAGAAGAAGCCCCGGCUAACUUCGUGCCAGCCGCCGCCGUAACAC
rnacentral:rRNA from 1 species